UUUGCUUAUAUCGAUUGAAUUAGAAAGCAUUGUUCGUGUUUCAAUAUGUAAAUUUUUUUUGUUAAGAUUUAGAACGAGUUCGUAAAUAGUCGAUGUAUCGAACAAUAGAACGACGAAGAACGUUCGUGACCCUCUUUUCUUCUACAAAAAGACACGAACCUAUCAAACUCGUGAAUAGAAAAUUAAAUCAAAACUAAUGUGUUUUAAUAUCAAAUAAGUUUUAAUAUCAAACGGUUUUGCGUUAAGAUUCGACCACACGUAUUUUCUUUUCGUUUUUUUUUUCAAUGCCGUGUUAUCUGAAUCUAACGGCAAUAUCGCGACCGGUGUUUUUAAUUAUUGGAAUUAUCUGAAAAAUAUUUGGAUAAAAUUUUGAAUUACAAAUCUGAAUAUAUGUAUAUAUGUCAGAGUAGAAGAAUUAAAAGAAGAAAAAACACAUGAAAAAAAAUCGUAGGCGUUAACAUUUAAAAUUGAAAACAAAAAAUUAUAAAAAUUGAGAUUAAGUCAACAUUUGUUAAGAGAUUAGUAUUUUAAAAAUUGAUGUUAACAUGUUGGAGAACUAUAGAAUUAUAAAUUUAUUAUAAGAAAUUUUUUCAAACAAUUUCGACGUUUGUAAUAUGCAUAAGAAAAAUUAAAUAAUUAAAUAAUCCGUCAUAACCUUUGACUUCGACCGGUCCACUAAAAAGGAGAGAGAGGGGGGGAAGGUUGUGUGUGUGUGUGUGUGUGUGUGUGUGUGUGUGACAAUGAAGAAGAGAGAAAAAGUAAUCUGCAAGAGAGAAGACUUAUGAGAAAGGGGAGAAUGGGGGUUGAGUAGAAGUAGUACCACAAUGUGGUGGGGAUAGAGCUUUUGCCCUCUAGAAUUGUACCCCUUAAGUUAUCGUCGUUAAUCGUGCUUGGUGGCGAGAGAAAGCACUCAUAGAGAGUCAAAGUAAAAGAAUGAGAGAAUAAGAAAGAAAGAAAGAAAGAAAGAGAGAGAGAGAGAGAGAGAGAGAGAGAGAGAGAGAGAGAGAGAGAGAGAGAGAGAGAGAGAGAGAGAGUGAGAUAUAUAGAGAAGAGAAAAAAAGAGAAAGAGAAGGGAGCGGGGGUGGAUCGGUGUGUACUGCAAGGUAGCAACGUAGAAAUAUCGACCGUUGGAUAUGUUGUUGAUGCGAAUGGUAACCAUGGAUAACUCGAGCCGAUCCACCAAUUGCGAUCCUCGCGGUGGCCAUACUCGACCAAUCGGGUAUACGGUAUGCUGCCGGUUUUUUGAUUGGGCGAUAUCAGGGAUAAGAGACCAGUUCGAGGCCAUCGAAACCCACAAACGGACGUGAACACAUCAAGUGGAGAACGGUCUCUCUAUUUUCUCUCUCUUUCUCUUUCUCUUAUUUUCUCUUUAUCUAUCUGUCUAUCUAUUUAUCUAUCUAUCUAUAUCUCUAUCUUUCUUCAUCUUUACCGUAUAAAACAUCCAGAUAUUGUAAAAUCUGAUCAUCAGUUAUUGUUUUUUUCCUACUAUUGUAACUUUCCUACUAUUAUUAAUCCUUCUAAUCCUCAUUCUAAUAUCUUAUUUCUGAAACGUCCUAUAAUUCUCAUUUUAUUUCUCCUUUGACUUCAACCUUUCUUUUGAAUUAGGAUUCCGUUUUCUAGUUUCGCGUAUGCAUCUCUACGGGGAAUCAAGGAUCACUGAGUUUAUACCAUAAAGGAAAUCGCGAAGUGAAUUAUAGUCGAAAAGUGACGACACAAUCUACGAAUAUCCCGCCAUCUUAGAUAAAUUCAGCGGCAAGAAUGAAUCACGAAGCGUGAUUGUGAAUCUUCUUCGCGUUUGCCUCAGCCGUGAAAUCACAGAGUACCGUGUUUUUCCAUUUCAUUUCUUCAUGAGUUCUGUCUUUCUCUUUCUAACUUGUUGAAAUGAACGUAGAGAGAGGGGAGGAGGGGGGAGAGAGCACAACAACGCCAUAACGUCAUUACCACAAUCACCUCCUCUCCCUCACCCACUAUGCUGCCACCACCAUUUCGAGUUUCCCUCGAUCAUUAUCUUAAUCGUGAUUCAUAUUAUUUUAUUACACGUCAAUGCUCGUCAAUUACGCUUGAGACAACGAUAUCCCUCAUUAUUCGAUAUAUUCGAGAUUUAAUCGCAAUCGCUGAUAAUGAUUUUUUUUCUUUCCUUUCGUGAUUUUUUUUAGAUAAGGACAAUCGACUUUUGCCUUUUUAAAUGUUUGUAAUUUUGU